GCGACCAUUCCACGUUGGAAACAUCGGUUCUCGUCCGAUAACCGAAGUUAGGUAACGUUGGGUCCGGUUAGAACUCCGGAUCUGUGCUACUACCUUGACGAGGUGGUC